GUUAUAUACAGUAGAGAGGCUAUAUACAGUAGAGAGGCUAUAUACAGUAGAGAGGCUAUAUACAGUAGAGAGGCUAUAUACAGUAGAGAGGCUAUAUACAGUAGAGAGGCUAUAUACAGUAGAGAGGCUAUAUACAGUAGAGAGGUCAUAUACAGUAGAGAGGCUAUAUACAGUAGAGAGGUUAUAUACAGUAGAGAGGCUAUAUACAGUAGAGAGGCUAUAUACAGUAGAGAGGUUAUAUACAGUAGAGAGGUUAUAUACAGUAGAGAGGCUAUAUACAGUAGAGAGGUUAUAUACAGUAGAGAGGCUAUAUACAGUAGAGAGGCUAUAUACAGUAGAGAGG
rnacentral:lncRNA from 1 species